rnacentral:rRNA from 1 species
GACGAACGCUGGCGGCGUGCUUAACACAUGCAAGUCGAACGGAAAGGCCCUGCUUUUGUGGGGUGCUCGAGUGGCGAACGGGUGAGUAACACGUGAGUAACCUGCCCUUGACUUUGGGAUAACUUCAGGAAACUGGGGCUAAUACCGGAUAGGAGCUCCUGCUGCAUGGUGGGGGUUGGAAAGUUUCGGCGGUUGGGGAUGGACUCGCGGCUUAUCAGCUUGUUUGUGGGGUAGUGGCUUACCAAGGCUUUGACGGGUAGCCGGCCUGAGAGGGUGACCGGCCACCUUGGGCCUGAGAUACGGCCCAGACGCCUACGGGAGGCAGCAGUGGGGAAUAUUGCACAGUGGGCGGAAGCCUGAUGCAGCAACGCCGCGUGCGGGAUGACGGCCUUCGGGUUGUAAACCGCUUUCGCCUGUGACGAAGCGUGAGUGACGGUAAUGGGUAAAGAAGCAACGGCUAACUACGUG